rnacentral:rRNA from 2 species
AUACAACUUUCAACAACGGAUCUCUUGGCUCUCGCAUCGAUGAAGAACGCAGCGAAAUGCGAUAAGUAAUGUGAAUUGCAGAAUUCAGUGAAUCAUCGAAUCUUUGAACGCACCUUGCGCCCCUUGGUAUUCCGAGGGGCAUGCCUGUUUGAGUGUCAUGUUAACAU